rnacentral:rRNA from 1 species
GAUCAAGUGUCUUAAGGGCAAUUGGUGGAUGCCUUGGCAUGCACAGGCGAUGAAGGACGUGAUACGCUGCGAUAAGCUACGGGGAGGUGCGAAUACCCUUUGAUCCGUAGAUCUCCGAAUGGGGAAACCCACCUAAGGUACUUGGAAAAUCAGAGAUGCAGGGAUGCGACGAUCUCUUUGAGAUCGCGCUAUUUGCAUCUGUGGUUUCCAAGUAUCGCUAAUAGGUAACUUAUCCUGAAUACAUAGGGAUAAAGUGGCGAACGCGGGGAACUGAAACAUCUAAGUACCCGUAGGAAAGGACAUCAACCGAGACUCCGGAAGUAGUGGCGAGCGAACCCGGA